AUGCGCCUGCACCGGCAACCUCUGCCUCCAACAAUGGGCAGCGAGCAGGCCGCUGUUGUCCGCCUCCUCGCCAUGGCCCCUCACAAGAUCCCUCUGAUGCCUUGCAUCACCUCCUGCCUCCCGCGUGCCUCCCUCUGCAGCGCCAGGCUGCGAGAGCGCUUCCUCCCUGUCAAGUCCCAUCGCCCGAGUGCUCGAGGAGAGGAGCUCCUCAAGCACCUGCGCCCACACCCCGCGUCCUCCGCGCCCAUCAAGAGCCCCAGCACUGGCCGCCCUACACCCGCGAGCACCACCACCUCCGGCGCGUCUCAGCUCUGUUUCCAGCGACCUGGACCUCCCCUACGCCAAUCCCCUGCAUCAAGAAGUAGUAGCUCGACUGCUGCGCACAACCCUGCGUUUGACUCUGGGAGCACCUUCGGGUCUUCCCCAACUUCGUGUCUUAUUUUUGGAUCAUGCCAAGAUCAGGGCCCUAGCACCACGACGACCGACGCAAGUUCCACUACCGUCAGUGUGCAUUUUGCCAAGUCCGACUAUGACAUGAACGACUACACAAAGACCCCGAAGAACAUGGAUUCAUCAAGUUCCUCCAUGAAAUGUGUACCAUCUGCUGCCCGAACAUCUACGGAAUGUGUACCACAACCAUCGCCGAAGACCCAUGAACGACUACCGAUGACCCUCCAAGUUCGUCCAUGA
rnacentral:rRNA from 1 species